GGCUCAUUAAAACAGCUAUUAUAUGCUUGAUGUUGAUUUCCUACGUGGAUAACUGUGGUAAUUCUAGAGCUAAUACAUGCACCAAAGCUCUGAUUGCUCGCCGUGUGUCGUUAACGUGGCGCGCGGUGAUCACGAGCGCAUCUAUUAGACUAAAACCAAUUGGGCUGGUCGCUGUCGCGUGUUCGCCACGUGCGCGGUCCGCUCACCAAUGUUUGGUGACUCUGAAUAGUUUCGCUGAUUGCAUGGUCUUGCACCGGCAACAUAUCUAUCAAGUGUCUGCCUUAUCAACUUUCGAUGGUAGGUUAUAUGCCUACCAUGGUUGUAACGGGUAACGGAGAAUAAGGGUUCGACUCCGGAGAGGGAGCCUGAGAAACGGCUACCACUUCCAAGGAAGGCAGCAGGCGCGCAAAUUACCCACUCUCAGCUCGAGGAGGUAGUGACGAAAAAUAACGAGACCGUUCUCAUUGAGGCCGGUUAUCGGAAUGGGUACAAUUUAAACCCGUUAACGAGGAUCUAUGAGAGGGCAAGUCUGGUGCCAGCAGCCGCGGUAAUUCCAGCUCUCAAAGUGUAUAUCGUCAUUGCUGCGGUUAAAAAGCUCGUAGUUGGACUUAAGCCAAACGUUUCGGUGCAUCUACUAGAUGCCAACUGAAUUCGUUGGUUUUGCAAAUUGCUGUUGUUGUCGUUGGUUGGCGCGUUGUCGUGGUGGGCUACGAUCGUGCGAUUGCGUUGCUCGCGUGGUCACGCGUUCGUUAGUCGUGUCAUUUAUGUCACCCUAGCACCAAUUAAAAGCGAUGAUGUGCUGCAAUGGCGACGGCAGUGAUGUAUGCUGGUUUUCUCUGCGUUGCCUUAGUCGGUUGCGCAGGGUGACUGGCGUGUUUACCUUGAAAAAAUUAGAGUGCUUAACGCGGGCGUACACCGCCUGAAUACUGUUGCAUGGAAUAAUGGAAUAGGAUCUCGGUUCUAUUUUGUUGGUUUUCUGAUCUGAGAUAAUGGUUAAGAGGGACAGACGGGGGCAUUCGUAUCGCUGCGUGAGAGGUGAAAUUCUUGGACCGUAGCGAGACGCCCUACUGCGAAAGCAUUUGCCAAGAAUGUCUUCAUUAAUCAAGAACGAAAGUCAGAGGUUCGAAGGCGAUCAGAUACCGCCCUAGUUCUGACCGUAAACGAUACCAACUAGCGUUCCGUCAGCGGUAAAUACGCCUUGACGGGCAGCUUUCCGGAAACGAAAGUUUUUCGGUUCCGGGGGAAGUAUGGUUGCAAAGCUGAAACUUAAAGAAAUUGACGGAAGGGCACCACCAGGAGUGGAGCCUGCGGCUUAAUUUGACUCAACACGGGAAAACUCACUUGGCCUGGACACCGUGAGGAUUGACAGAUUGAGAGCUCUUUCUUGAUUCGGUGGUUGGUGGUGCAUGGCCGUUCUUAGUUGGUGGAGUGAUUUGUCUGGUUAAUUCCGAUAACGAGCGAGACUCUAGCCUGCUAAAUAGUCGGUGGAUAUUGUGCGUGCGACACGGCGGUGUACUACAAAUGCAUUUGCCGCUGUUGCACCUGCACGUCCAUUUUCGACUUCUUAGAGGGACAAGCGGUGUUCAGCCGCAUGAAGUUGAGCAAUAACAGGUCUGUGAUGCCCUUAGAUGUCCAAGGCUGCACGCGCGCUACAAUGGAGGAAUCAACGAGCAUCAUCCGUUGUCGAAAGGCAAUGGUAACCAAAUGAAAAUCCUCCGUGCUCGGGAUCGGCAAUUGCAAUUAUUUACCGUGAACGAGGAAUUCCUAGUAAGUGUGAGUCAUCAGCUCACGUUGAUUACGUCCCUGCCCUUUGUACACACCGCCCGUCGCUGCCCGGGACUGAGCCGUUUCGAGAAAAGCGGGGACCGCUGCGCAAAAGCCGCACAACUUGUGGUGGAUGCGCUUUGGUGGAAACCGUCU
rnacentral:rRNA from 1 species